rnacentral:rRNA from 1 species
UGCGCAGGCGGUUAUAUAAGACAGAUGUGAAAUCCCCGGGCUCAACCUGGGAACUGCAUUUGUGACUGUAUAGCUAGAGUACGGCAGAGGGGGAUGGAAUUCCGCGUGUAGCAGUGAAAUGCGUAGAUACGCGGAGGAACACCGAUGGCGAAGGCAAUCCCCUGGGCCUGUACUGACGCUCAUGCACGAAAGGCGUGGGGAGCAAACA